rnacentral:rRNA from 1 species
UUGAGCUAAGAAUAUAAGGGUGGAGCUUUAUGUUCAAUAAUUAAUAAAAGAUGAAUUAAAUAAUUAAUUUUUUUAUAAAUUAGGCUUUUUAGUGGCUAUAUUUUUAAAGUAUUUUAACUAUUAAAAUAUAUUUUUUUUUAUUUUUAUUCUCUUAAAAUUUAUUAGGAUAUAUUUUUUAUUAAAAGAAAAUUAGAAAUAAUGAGAAUAUUAGUAGAAUUUUAAAUAUUAAAAUAAAUAUAUUAAAUUUAGUAAAAAUUUUUAAUAUAAAUAUAAAGAAAAAUUAAAGGAAUUCGGCAAAAUUUUUUCUUGCCUGUUUAACAAAAACAU